AGCAAACGUCCUCGCACCUCGGAAGUCGGGACGCGCUGCACAGCGCAGCCGAGCGAGGAGAGCGGCAGCGCAGGGAGGACAGACCCCGAGCACGGCCAGGACCCCGGGAACAUGCAACAGCAGCCCUGGGGCUGAGGGAGGGGAAGGCAAGUCCUGACACAGGCCAAGCCCAUGGGGGAACUAUCCCCUUGUGCCUCUUCACUCCUGAGCCCAUGCCAGAGCAGAGAGCUGGGGGCACCUGAGAGGCUUUGUGGGCCCAGCACAUGGAGCAGAUCUGAUAUGCUGCAGUGACCUACAUGUGACACACAGCUCUUCCAGAGGGUAUUCUGUAUACAACCAAGCAAUUUCCCUGACCAGAUCUCUGGUUGCUUCCAGAAUGAUUUUCUGGAAACACUUUCACAUUUUUAC